rnacentral:rRNA from 1 species
GACGAACGCUGGCGGCGUGCUUAACACAUGCAAGUCGAACGGAAAGGCCCUGCUUUUGUGGGGUGCUCGAGUGGCGAACGGGUGAGUAACACGUGAGUAACCUGCCCUUGACUUUGGGAUAACUUCAGGAAACAGGGGCUAAUACCGGAUAGGAGCUCCUGCUGCAUGGUGGGGGUUGGAAAGUUUCGGCGGUUGAGGAUGGACUCGCGGCUUAUCAGCUUGUUGGUGGGGUAGUGGCUUACCAAGGCUUUGACGGGUAGCCGGCCUGAGAGGGUGACCGGCCACAUUGGGACUGAGAUACGGCCCAGACUCCUACGGGAGGCAGCAGUGGGGAAUAUUGCACAAUGGGCGGAAGCCUGAUGCAGCAACGCCGCGUGCGGGAUGACGGCCUUCGGGUUGUAAACCGCUUUCGCCUGUGACGAAGCGUGAGUGACGGUAAUGGGUAAAGAAGCACCGGCUAACUACGUG